UACAGAGACUGCAAGCGUUAUUCGGAUUCACUGGGCGUAAAGGGUGCGCAGGCGGCCGUGUGUGUGAGGCGUGAAAGCCCGGGGCUUAACCCCGGAAUUGCACCUCAAACUACAUGGCUAGAGCAUUGGAGAGGGGAGCGGAAUUCACGGUGUAGCAGUGAAAUGCGUAGAUAUCGUGAGGAACACCAGAGGCGAAGGCGGCUCCCUGGACAAUUGCUGACGCUCAGGCACGAAAGCGUGGGGAGCAAAAGGG
rnacentral:rRNA from 1 species